GAUGAACGCUAGCGGCGUGCCUAACACAUGCAAGUCGAACGUGAGAGGGUACUUGUAUCCUUGAAAGUGGCGGACGGGUGAGUAAGACGUAGGUGACCUGCCUUGAAGUGGGGGAUAACCAUUGGAAACGAUGGCUAAUACCGCAUAAGCUGGUGACGAUGGGAAUCGUUAACAGGAAAGCUUUAGUGCUUUGAGAGGGGCCUACGGCCGAUUAGCUAGUUGGUGAGGUAAAGGCUCACCAAGGCGAUGAUCGGUAGCUGGUCUGAGAGGACGAUCAGCCACACGGGAACUGAGACACGGUCCCGACUCCUACGGGGGGCAGCAGUGAGGAAUAUUCGGCAAUGGGGGGCAACCCUGACCGAGCAACGCCGCGUGGAGGAUGACGGUUUUCGGAUUGUAAACUCCUUUUCUCAGGGAAGAGCGAGGACGGUACCUGGGGAAUAAGUCACGGCUAACUACGUG
rnacentral:rRNA from 1 species